GCCUUCAUGGUAUAGUGGUCAGCAUACUCGGUGCGUAUUCGAGAGGUCCGUGGUUCGAGUCCCGGCGAGGGCA
rfam:Stegodyphus mimosarum contig27730, whole genome shotgun sequence.